rnacentral:rRNA from 1 species
UACGGAGGGGGCGAGCGUUGUUCGGAUUUACUGGGCGUAAAGGGCGCGCAGGCGGCUAUCCAAGUCAGGCGUGAAAGCCCCGGGCUUAACCUGGGAGGUGCGUCUGGGACUGGGUGGCUAGAGUUCGGGAGAGGAGAGUGGAAUUCCCAGUGUAGAGGUGAAAUUCGUAGAUAUUGGGAAGAACACCGGUGGCGAAGGCGGCUCUCUGGACCGAGACUGACGCUGAGGCGCGAAAGCGUGGGGAGCAAACAGG